AUAAGAAGUAAAAAUUACAAACAGUUUCGACCUGUUAUUAGAUGUUAAGUCAUCCUUAUU
rnacentral:tRNA from 1 species